rnacentral:rRNA from 1 species
AAUAUUGGACAAUGGAGGAGACUCUGAUCCAGCCAUGCCGCGUGCAGGAAGAAUGCCCUAUGGGUAGUAAACUGCUUUUAUACGGGAAGAAAAAGGGCUACGUGUAGCCCACUGACGGUACCGUAAGAAUAAGGACCGGCUAACUCCGUGCCAGCAGCCGCGGUAAUACGGAGGGUCCGAGCGUUAUCCGGAAUUAUUGGGUUUAAAGGGUCCGUAGGCGGGCAGCUAAGUCAGAGGUGAAAGUUUGCAGCUCAACUGUAAAAUUGCCUUUGAUACUGGUUGUCUUGAGUUAUGGUGAAGUUGCCGGAAUAUGUAGUGUAGCGGUGAAAUGCAUAGAUAUUACAUAGAACACCGAUUGCGAAGGCAGGUGACUAACCAUAUACUGACGCUGAUGGACGAAAGCGUGGGGAGCGAACAGGAUUAGAUACCCUGGUAGUCCACGCCGUA